rnacentral:sRNA from 1 species
GGAGUACGGCGUCAAUCGCCAGAAUUCCAAAGCUAACUGCGGCCUGCUUUUCUACCAAAUCCAU